rnacentral:rRNA from 1 species
UACGUAGGGAGCGAGCGUUGUCCGGAUUUAUUGGGCGUAAAGAGCUCGUAGGCGGUUUGGUAAGUCGGGUGUGAAAGCUCCGGGCUCAACUCGGAGAGGUCACUCGAUACUGCCAUGACUGGAGUCCGGUAGGGGGGUGUGGAAUUCCCAGUGUAGCGGUGAAAUGCGCAGAUAUUGGGAGGAACACCAAUGGCGAAGGCAGCACCCUGGGCCGGUACUGACGCUGAGGAGCGAAAGCAUGGGGAGCGAACAGG